GACGAACGCUGGCGGCGUGCUUAACACAUGCAAGUCGAACGGAAAGGCCCUGCUUUUGUGGGGUGCUCGAGUGGCGAACGGGUGAGUAACACGUGAGUAACCUGCCCUUGACUUUGGGAUAACUUCAGGAAACUGGGGCUAAUACCGGAUAGGAGCUCCUGCUGCAUGGUGGGGGUUGGAAAGUUUCGGCGGUUGGGGAUGGACUCGCGGCUUAUCAGCUUGUUGGUGGGGUAGUGGCUUACCAAGGCUUUGACGGGUAGCCGGCCUGAGAGGGUGACCGGCCACAUUGGGACUGAGAUACGGCCCAGACUCCAACGGGAGGCAGCAGUGGGGAAUAUUGCACAAUGGGCGGAAGCCUGAUGCAGCAACGCCGCGUGCGGGAUGACGGCCUUCGGGUUGUAAACAGAUUUCGCCUGUGACGAAGCGUGAGUGACGGUAAUGGGUAAAGAAGCACCGGCUAACUACGUG
rnacentral:rRNA from 1 species